rnacentral:tRNA from 1 species
GCCUUCGCGGUAUAGUGGUGAGAACGUUGCGCUGGUAUUCGAGAGGUCCGUGGUUCGAGUCCCGGCGAAGGUA